rnacentral:rRNA from 1 species
UACGUAGGGGGCUAGCGUUGUCCGGAAUCAUUGGGCGUAAAGCGCGUGUAGGCGGUUCGGUAAGUCCGCUGUGAAAGUCGGGGGCUCAACCCUCGAAUGCCGGUGGAUACUGUCGGACUAGAGUACGGAAGAGGCGAGUGGAAUUCCUGGUGUAGCGGUGAAAUGCGCAGAUAUCAGGAGGAACACCGAUGGCGAAGGCAGCUCGCUGGGACGGUACUGACGCUGAGGCGCGAAAGCGUGGGGAGCAAACAGG